GUCCACGCUGUAAACGAUGGACAUUAGGUUUUGGGAGUUUCGACCCUUUCAGAACCGUAAGCUAACGCGUUAAAUGUCUCGCCUGGGAAGUACGGUCGCAAGACUAAAACUCAAAGGAAUUGACGGGAACCUGCACAAGCGGUGGAGCAUGUGGUUUAAUUCGACAAUGACCGAAGAACCUCACCAGGGUUUGAAAUCAACAGAAUCUUCCCGAAAGGGAAGAGUGCCGCAAGGAGCUGUUGACCAGGCGCUGCAUGGUUGUCGU
rnacentral:rRNA from 1 species